rnacentral:rRNA from 1 species
UACGUAGGGUGCGAGCGUUAAUCGGAAUCACUGGGCGUAAAGGGUGCGUAGGCGGCGCGGUAAGUCGGGUGUGAAAUCUCGGGGCUUAACUCCGAAACUGCAUUCGAUACUGCCGUGCUUGAGGACUGGAGAGGAGACUGGAAUUUACGGUGUAGCGGUGAAAUGCGUAGAUAUCGUAAGGAAGACCAGUGGCGAAGGCGGGUCUCUGGACAGUUCCUGACGCUGAGGCACGAAGGCCAGGGGAGCAAACGGG